GGCGUAGCUCAAUUGGUAGAGCAGCUGACUUGUAAUCAGCAGGUCGGGAGUUCGAAUCUCCCUGGU
rnacentral:tRNA from 1 species